rnacentral:rRNA from 1 species
CCUACGGGAGGCAGCAGUGAGGAAUAUUGGUCAAUGGCCGGAAGGCUGAACCAGCCAUGCCGCGUGAAGGUCAGUGCCCUAUGGGCGUUAAACCUCUUUUGUGCGGGAGCAAUAAUGGUCACGUGUGGCCAGACGAGAGUACCGUACGAAUAAGCAUCGGGUAACUCCGUGCCAGCAGCCGCGGGAAUACGGGGGAUGCAAGCGUUAUACGGAUUUUUUGGGUUUAAAGGGUGCGUAGGCUGUGAGGUAAGUCAGUGGGGAAAUGCCUCGGCUCAAGGGGGUGAAGUGCCAUUGAUACUGGCUGGCUGGAGUGCGGAUGACGUGGGAGGAAUGUGUGGUGUAGCGGUGAAAUGCAUAGAUAUCACACAGAACACCGAUUGCGAAGGCAGCUCACGGAUCCGCGAUUGACGCUGAUGCACGAAAGCGUGGGUAUCAAACAGGAUUAGAUACCCGGGUAGUC